GCGGCAGGCCUAACACAUGCAAGUCGAGCGAGAAAGUACUUCGGUACGAGUAAAGCGGCGGACGGGUGAGUAACGCGUAGGAAUCUACCUGGUAGUGGGGGACAACAUGUGGAAACGCAUGCUAAUACCGCAUACGACCUAAGGGUGAAAGUGGGGGACCUUCGGGCCUCACGCUAUCGGAUGAGCCUGCGUAAGAUUAGCUAGUUGGUGAGGUAAGAGCUCACCAAGGCGACGAUCUUUAGCUGGUCUGAGAGGAUGAUCAGCCACACUGGGACUGAGACACGGCCCAGACUCCUACGGGAGGCAGCAGUGGGGAAUAUUGCGCAAUGGAGGAAACUCUGACGCAGCCAUGCCGCGUGUGUGAAGAAGGCCUUAGGGUUGUAAAGCACUUUCAAUUGGGAAGAAAGGUUGUACGUUAAUAGCGUGCAGCUGUGACAUUACCUUUAGAAGAAGCACCGGCUAACUCCGUGCCAGCAGCCGCGGUAAUACGGAGGGUGCGAGCGUUAAUCGGAAUUACUGGGCGUAAAGCGCGCGUAGGCGGUUUGUUAAGUCGGAUGUGAAAGCCCUGGGCUCAACCUGGGAACUGCAUUCGAUACUGGCAAACUAGAGUGCGAGAGAGGGAGGUAGAAUUCCAUGUGUAGCGGUGAAAUGCGUAGAUAUGUGGAGGAAUACCGGUGGCGAAGGCGGCCUCCUGGCUCGACACUGACGCUGA
rnacentral:rRNA from 1 species